rnacentral:tRNA from 1 species
GUGGUUGUAGCUUAGUGGUGGAGCACUUGCCUAGCACGUGUGAGGCACUGGGUUUGAUCCUCAGCACCACA